CUUGCUUCUCUUGAGAGCGGCGGACGGGUGAGUAAUGCCUAGGAAUCUGCCUGGUAGUGGGGGAUAACGUCCGGAAACGGACGCUAAUACCGCAUACGUCCUACGGGAGAAAGCAGGGGACCUUCGGGCCUUGCGCUAUCAGAUGAGCCUAGGUCGGAUUAGCUAGUUGGUGGGGUAAUGGCUCACCAAGGCGACGAUCCGUAACUGGUCUGAGAGGAUGAUCAGUCACACUGGAACUGAGACACGGUCCAGACUCCUACGGGAGGCAGCAGUGGGGAAUAUUGGACAAUGGGCGAAAGCCUGAUCCAGCCAUGCCGCGUGUGUGAAGAAGGUCUUCGGAUUGUAAAGCACUUUAAGUUGGGAGGAAGGGCAGUAAAUUAAUACUUUGCUGUUUUGACGUUACCGACAGAAUAAGCACCGGCUAACUCUGUGCCAGCAGCCGCGGUAAUACAGAGGGUGCAAGCGUUAAUCGGAAUUACUGGGCGUAAAGCGCGCGUAGGUGGUUCGUUAAGUUGGAUGUGAAAUCCCCGGGCUCAACCUGGGAACUGCAUUCAAAACUGACGAGCUAGAGUAUGGUAGAGGGGUGGUGGAAUUUCCUGUGUAGCGGUGAAAUGCGUAGAUAUAGGAAAGGAACACCAGUGGCGAA
rnacentral:rRNA from 1 species